AGGGGAAUUGGCAGCUAAGGACUUUGUCAAAUGAAUGUGGCUCCCAUCUAGCGUGGUAUAUUUGCCGAGAAAAGCCUGAGGGGAGCUAGGGGUUCCGGCCAGCAGCCCCGGGAAAGGGAACCGACAAUUUAACCAGAGUUAAAAAACUAAAACCAACCCAAACCUACCACUCCCCCCCAUUUCUCCCCCAAAUUCUCAGAGAAAAAAUAAAAAGGAAGAGAGCGCUUUGGGUUUUUCCCUCAAGGGUUUUCUCUGGGACGCGAAGCCAAUUGCCCGUUCUCCGCCAAAUUGUAGGAGCGAAGAAAAGAGGAGGAAAAAAGG
rnacentral:lncRNA from 1 species